UGGAGGCCACAGCUAGAGGAGCUGGGGGAGGAAGGCAGGCAGGCAGUCAUCCAGAAGAGAUCCAGCAGGGGCUUCAGGACAGAGAAGGUCUUGCCCCCCACCAGAAAUGUGCUUGAGCAGAGCUGUUCUUCCAGAGGGGUUCCUGUGCCCAGGACCAGGAGAAGACUCCAUCCCAACAUGGGGCAUGUUAUGCCAGCCCCCGAAACCACGUCACAGUCUUUCUCUAAGCCGUAGCAGAAGGACCCGCUCUGAGGAUGUGCGUCUUCACUGGUGCUGACUCCACCACUGACCAUCCGAGGUCAAACAGCCAGCUCGGUGUGCCCUGCACUGGAAUCCGUCCACGGGUCGACGACUGGAUGCGGGUUUGGGGGAUGUUGAGCAGUCACAAAGCACAAGGUUAGCUGAAUUCAGAGACCAGUAACGCACAACUUGCCCUUAAGGAUCAUCAAACCAGUUUGGGGUUCACAAAAUGCUUUAAUGGAGGGCAGUGGGGGUUGUUUUCUGAGUGGGAAUGUGUUAGGGGAUGUGGUUGCAGGCAACAGAGAAGUGGGUACCGUGCCUGGGUGUGGGAAUGCUGACGCCGUGGUGUGCGUGUGCCCAGCGGCUGCAGAAGACUGGAAGGCUAGCAGAAGGCUGGCAUCGCUACGUCGCCUUUCCCCCAGAGUCACCCAUUGUUUCCGUUUCUGAAACCACCUGAGAAAAAAGUUAGACAUCUCGGACCUUUUCCUUUUAAUUACCUGGUUGGGGGGGGGAGAUAAUUUCAAGGACAUUCUUUAACAUUGCUUGCUUUCCUUGCAGCUAAGCCUUCCUCCAGACCCAGGUGUUCUAGCUUGUAAAUAAAGCUUAUUUUG